GAACGCACAUUGCGCCCGCCAGUAUUCUGGCGGGCAUGCCUGUCCGAGCGUCAUUUCAACCCUCGAACCCCUCCGGGGGGUCGGCGUUGGGGAUCGGGGACCCCUAAGACGGGAUCCCGGCCCCGAAAUACAGUGGCGGUCUCGCCGCAGCCUCUCAUGCGCAGUAGUUUGCACAACUCGCACCGGGAGCGCGGCGCGUCCACGUCCGUAAAACACCCAACUUCUGAAAUGUUGACCUCGGAUCAGGUAGGAAUACCCGCUGAACUUAAG
rnacentral:misc_RNA from 1 species